GUUACCCUACGGGAGGCAGCAGUAGGGAAUUUUCGUCAAUGGGCGCAAGCCUGAACGAGCAAUGCCGCGUGAACGAGGAAGGUCUUCGGAUCGUAAAGUUCUGUUGAAGGGGAAAAAGAGCGGAGAGAGGAAAUGAACUCCGAUUGAUAUUACCCUUCGAGGAAGUCACGGCUAACUACGUGCCAGCAGCCGCGGUAAUACGUAGGUGGCGAGCGUUAUCCGGAAUGAUUGGGCGUAAAGGGUGCGUAGGCGGCCUGCUAAGUCUGGAGUGAAAGGGCCCGGCUCAACCGGUACAUGCUCUGGAA
rnacentral:rRNA from 1 species